CAAACCCUGGGUACCACACUCCCUCCUUAUCUUAGGUGCCAGGCCCUUCGAAGGAGCCCGAUGAGGACAUCUAUGUGGAGUGUGAGGCCAGUCCAGCCCCGGCCCAGGCUCCUGGAGCUCCCUGCUUGAUGCUCAGCCCUGCUGUUUUAGUCCCAGCCUUUACUCAGACUCUGAGUUCCCCAGUCCUGACGGCCCCAGUCCCUCUACCAAGGAUAUCCAUGGGGCCCAGGCCCACCAUAACCCCCCAAGAAGCUCAGAAUGGAGCAUCAAAGGCCACCUCUGAAGGUGAGUAUGAGCACUACCAGCAUGGAUCCAUGCACUCACGUGGGGCCCUCCCUAGCCACAGCCCUGCAGGCCACAGACUGUCUCCCAGCCCGCCUGCACCCUGCUUGGUUGAGGGGGUCCCUGCAGCUCUGACUCCAGCUGAGAGCAGGUCUGAGAGGACCCACCCUGGGCACUUUCCAGGGUCUGCACCAAAUCGGGAAGCUCCCAGUCUGUACCUUAACAUCAC
rnacentral:lncRNA from 1 species